AAUAAACGUUGGCGGCGUGCCUAACACAUGCAAGUCGAACGAAGCUGUUUUAACUGGUGCUUGCACCGACUUAAACAACUGAGUGGCGAACGGGUGAGUAACACGUGGGUAACCUGCCCCAAAGCGGGGGAUAACAUUUGGAAACAGAUGCUAAUACCGCAUAACCACAGAAACCACAUGGUUUCUGUGUCAAAGAUGGUUUCGGCUAUCACUUUGGGAUGGACCCGCGGCGUAUUAGCUAGUUGGUAAGGUAAUGGCUUACCAAGGCAAUGGUACGUAGCCGAACUGAGAGGUUGAUCGGCCACAUUGGGACUGAGACACGGCCCAAACUCCUACGGGAGGCAGCAGUAGGGAAUCUUCCACAAUGGACGAAAGUCUGAUGGAGCAACGCCGCGUGAGUGAAGAAGGUUUUCGGAUCGUAAAACUCUGUUGUCAGAGAAGAACGUGUGCGAGAGUAACUGCUCGUGCAGUGACGGUAUCUGGCCAGAAAGCCACGGCUAACUACGUGCCAGCCGCCGCAGUAA
rnacentral:rRNA from 1 species